GGGCCCCGCUGGCAGACUCCCAGCGUCCGCUUCGCAAAGCGCGUCCGCCCGCCGACGUCUGCGAGUGCGUGGCCCGCGCGGCCAGAACGUGUCGUGGACGUCGGACGUUCUUCCGGAGGAAGUCCGAGUCCUGCCCUUGUCCUGGGCGCGGGCGCUGGCUGCGGUGAGCGUCUGCGCCCACCGGGGAGCGGGCUUGGGGACCCUACCCAGGGCGAGGGUCUCUGCGGGUUCCCACUCCCCGCGUGUCCGAGGCUCCUCUUCUACAGGUACGAGGCUGGGGCACAGGGUGAGCAGGCCCUUCGCUGCCAUCAGCCGCUGCCCUCCGCCCUGGACUCGGGCUGCGCCGACCCCAGUUGCAGACGGGAAGUGGGCAGCCUGGGGUCAGCGAGUGGGCGUCGCGGUGACCCGGCCUGGUUCCGGCUCGGCCUCUGCCCCGCGUACCGUCCAGUCUGUACCAGGCCCUGGAACUCAGCUUCUUUAACUUUAGUCCCUGAGAUUCUCAGCCAGAGAAAUUCGAGAAGAGAAACGUGUACUCAGUGUAUGCUGCCUGCACGGUUAUUUCUAGUUCUAGGGGGGAUGGAAAGAACACAAGUGUAGGAAGAGAGAAACGGUCGCGGAGAUUAGGACGAAGUAAUGUACAUCAAAUUAUCAGCCCAUUUGAUGUGAUAUACAGAGUUUAACAACCACGUGGCUCUUUUUUCCUGUUGACCUGAUUGUUGGGGUCACUGAGGAGAGUGAUUGUGCCUGAGAGCCCAGGCCCCACCACACGCAGUCCUUCUGUGCCCAGAGUUCACUGCAGACCCUCCUCUUGGCAGCAUCCGGAGAGAAAAAUACUCAUCUUCUAGAAUAUGGCAGGUAAGAAAGUGCUCAUCGUCUACGCGCACCAAGAGCCCAGGUCUUUCAACGGGUCCCUGAAGGAUGUGGCGGUUGCGGAACUGAGCCGGCAGGGCUGCACCGUCACCGUUUCUGAUCUCUAUGCCAUGGACUUUGAGCCUAGGGCCACGAGGAAAGAUAUCACUGGCGCCCUCUCCCGCCCCGAGUUCUUCAGCUACGGUGUGGAAGCGUACGAGGCCUGCAAGAAGAGGUCUCUGACCAGCGACAUAAUCGCGGAGCAGAAGAAGGUCCAGGAGGCCGACCUAGUGAUGUUUCAGUUCCCGCUGUACUGGUUCAGCGUGCCGGCUAUCCUGAAGGGCUGGAUGGACAGGGUGCUGUGCCAGGGCUUUGCCUUCGACAUCCCGGGAUUCUACGACGACGGCCUCCUCAAGGGUAAACUGGCCAUCCUGUCCAUAACCACGGGCGGCACGGCCGACAUGUACUGGAAAACUGGAGCCAGCGGAGACUUCCGAUACUUCCUGUGGCCCCUCCAGCACGGCACGCUGCACUUCUGUGGAUUUAAAGUCCUUGCCCCUCAUAUCAGUUUUGCUCCUGAAUAUGCAUCAGAAGAAGAAAGAAAGGGGAUGGUGGCCUCCUGGGCGCAGAGGCUGAAGACCAUCUGGAACGAGGAGCCCAUCCCCUGCUCACCCCCCUGGUACUUCGGGCAGUGACCUCGGGGCCACGCUGGGAGGUGCUGGUGUGUGUAAUAAACGACGGCACAACAGAGCAGCAGAGCACAGGCUCCGGACGCGCAGGCUCAGCCGCUCCGCGGCAUGUGGGAUCCUCCCGGACCAGGGCACGAACCCGCGUCCCCUGCAUCGGCAGGCAGACUCUCAACCACUGUGCCACCGGGGAAGCCCUCUGACUCCUUUUUGACGCCACUUUCUUCAGACUUUUUCAGAACAGUCCUCAGAUUCUCUUUCUUCCAUCCUCCUCAGACCCUUUUUGGGGCUGUCCUCCUCAGAUUCCUUCUCAGGGUCACCUCCAAAGCCAUUCUUGAAAAGCAAAAACAAUACCUUCUCAGCAAACUUGGGUUGGAAGAAAUGUCCCCAACCUGAUAGAGAGCAUCUAAAAACCUACAGCUAAUGUUAAACUUUUCUGAUAAAAUAAGGACUAGAGCAAGGAUGUCCACUUCCACCACCCCUGUCCCACAUCACACAGGAAGAACUAGUCAGUGCACGUACUGGAAAGGAAAAACUAAAACUGCCACUGUUUGCAGAUUAUAUGAUUGUCUACAUAGAAAAUUUCAAAGAUCUACAGAAAAGAUGGUCUAGAACUAAUAAGAGAGUUUAGCAAGGUCACAAGAUACAAGGUCAACCAGCAAAGGCAAACUGUAUUUCUAUAUACUAGCAAGGUACAGUUGGAAACCAAAAGUAAAACAACAUUUAUGAUAGAAAAAUGAAAUAAUCUCACAAAACAUGUACACCGUCUCUGUACUGAAAACUGCAAACAGCUGAUAAAAAAUUAGAAUAGCUCUUUAAAUAGAGAAACCCAUCAUAUUCGUGGAUUGGAAGAAUCAGUAGUGUUAAGAUGUCAAUUCUCCCCAUUCAUCCAUUGUACAUCCCCUUAUACAUUCCCUUAUACAUCCGUUUAAUACAGUUCCAGUCAAAAUCCUAGAGAAUUUCUGGUAAAUAUAGACAAGUUGAUUCUAAAAUGUACAGAGAAAGGCAGAGAAGCUAGAAUAGUUAAAACAAUUUUGAGAAAGCAUACAUUUGGCUCCACAGUGCGCAAUAUGAAGACCUACCCUAAAGCUACAGUAAUGAACACAAUGUGGUGUAGCAAAGGAAUAGAUACAAGGUCAACUGAAGAGGGGAGAGAGAGAGGAAUAGACCCACACAAGUACAGCUAACUGAUUUUUUUUAGCAUUUUAAAAAUUAAUAGACCAUUUUAAAGAACAGUUUAGAUUUAUAGAAAAAUUGAAAGAAAUUACAGUUUCCAUAUACCGUAUGGAUAGUUUCCCCUUUAUUAUCUUAGCAUGACACAUUUGUUACAAUUAAUGAACCAACACUGACACAUUAUUAUUAACGAAAGUCCAUAGUUCAGAUGACCUUGGUUUUUACCUGAUGUCUUUUCUUCUGUUCCAGCCUCCCAUCCAUGAUACCAUGUUACAUUUAAUUUGUCAUGUCUUCUUAGGCUUCUCUCACCUGUGAGAUUUCUCAGAGAUUCUUGGCUUUGAUGACCUUGAGGGUUUUGAAGAAUACUGGUCAGGUAUACCGGUUGUCCCUCCACUGGAAUGUGCCUUUUUUCCUCAUGAUUCGCCUGGAGUUAUGGUUUUGGGGAGAAAGCUCACAGAGGGAAAGUGCUAUUUUCAUCACAUCAUAUCAAGGACACAUACUAUCAAUACGGUUUAUGAUGGUUGAUGUUGAACUUGAUCUGAUCAGCUGGCUGAAGCAGUUGUAUUGUUUCCCCCUUUCCAUGCUGUGUGAUUUGGAAAGAAGUCACUUUGUGGAGCCCACACUUAAAGAGUGGGAGUUAUACUCCAACUCGCUUAGACUGGAAUACAUACAUAAUUUAUUUGGAAUUCUGCGUAGGAGAUCUGUUUCCCCUCCAUUUAUUUAUUCAGUCACUUAUCUGUAUCAAUAUGCACUCAUGGAUAUGAUUUUCUACCUUAGGUUAUAAUCCAGUGCUACGUUUUAAGUUAUCUUGCUCAUUGUCUUCCAACUUUGGCCAUUGGGAACCCUUUUAGAAACAAGAUCUGGUCACUAGGUGUGCUGGUUGCUAUGGUACAGUGUGAUUUCUUUCAGGCUCCCUUAGCUGGUAGAGCAAAGAAAUGUAUGUGUGCCACCAACUCAUGUAUAUACAUAUAUGUGUAAAUAUUUUUAUAUGUAGCCAUCUGUAUCUACAUUGUUUUACCAUCAUCAACUCUGUCCCUUACAUGUGGAUUAUUCUAGCCUCCUCCCCUUUCUAAUCUGUAAAUUCCCAUUCUAAUGACAAGAACCCUGGCUUUCACCAUCCACUACUCAAUUGUUCAGGUCCAGCAAACACGUAUGGCAGUGUCAGAAUUGUUAACAUGUGUACCGUGGGAAUCAACUUUAUCCAUUAGAGCAUCGUCCCGUGUGCAGUUCCUUUUGCCUUUAGCCUAUGGACUCCAAAGUGACUGAAGUCCCUUCCCCCUGCCCCCACCCUCCUUGGGGUGGUUGUUUCAUACUUUUGUAAUACAAUUAGACUCCCUUGUCACAGUCUACAUUUUUUCCUGGAAUCUCCAGACCUCCUAAAUUAUUAUUUUUCUAAAUCACAUACAUUAAAGUUCACUCUUCGUGUAGUAAAGUUUUAUGGGUUUUGACAAAUGUCUGGUAUUAUGUAUCUACUAUUACAGUAUCGUAGAAUAGUUUCACUGUAAUAAAAUUCCCUGUGCUUCAACUAUUCAUCCCUCCCCUCCAUACCCACACCUCUGACCACCACUGAUUUUUUUUUUUUUAAUCACUGAUCUUUUUUUGUAUGUAUAGUUUGCCUUUUCCAAAAUGUCAUAGAAUUGGAAUCAAACAACAUGUAGCCUUUUCAGACUGGCUUCUUUUACGGAGAAAUAUGCAUUUAAGUUUCCUCCAUGUGUUUCUGUGGCUUGAUAGCUCAUUUCUUCUUAUCGCUGAAUAAUAUUGCAUGUAUGUACCAUAGUUUAUCCUUCAUCUAUUAAAGGACAUCUUGGUUGCUUUCA